rnacentral:piRNA from 1 species
UUGGNGCCUGAUCUGAUUUAGACAGCUU